rnacentral:rRNA from 1 species
GUGAACCUACCUAUCGUUGCUUCGGCGGACUCGCCCCAGCCCGGACGCGGACUGGACCAGCGGCCCGCCGGGGACCUCAAACUCUUGUAUUCCAGCAUCUUCUGAAUACGCCGCAAGGCAAAACAAAUGAAUCAAAACUUUCAACAACGGAUCUCUUGGCUCUGGCAUCGAUGAAGAACGCAGCGAAACGCGAUAAGUAAUGUGAAUUGCAGAAUCCAGUGAAUCAUCGAAUCUUUGAACGCACAUUGCGCCCGCCAGCAUUCUGGCGGGCAUGCCUGUUCGAGCGUCAUUUCAACCCUCGACCUCCCCUUGGGGAGGUCGGCGUUGGGGACCGGCAGCACACCGCCGGCCCUGAAAUGGAGUGGCGGCCCGUCCGCGGCGACCUCUGCGCAGUAAUACAGCUCGCACCGGGACCCCGACGCGGCCACGCCGUAAAACACCCAACUUCUGAACGUUGACCUCGAAUCAGGUAGGACUACCCGCUGAACUUAAGCAUAUCAUGGUGGGGGGGAAAACCUCCCUAACCCUUCUGGUGAACCUACCUAUCGUUGCUUCGGCGGACGCGCCCCAGCCCGGACGCGGACUGGACCAGCGGGCCCGCCGGGGACCUCAAACUCUUGUAUUCCAG